CUGCAAGCCAGCUAAUAUCAUAAUUAACUAAGUUGCUACUCCGUCUGCAAAGUUGAAUCGAAAGAUCGGCCAGUGAUAGGAGGCAUUGUCAUAAAGCUCACAAGGGAUAUAAGAGUCGACUGGACUCACAGGAGAACAGCAGAGCUGUGUAAGGCAAGAUGAGAGACAGUCAACUUGUUCAGCCAAAGGUUAUGCUUCAUAUCACCCACCAGGGAGGAUCAUCUCUCAUGAAAACUUUCAAAUUUGAUUUUGAAAAUUAUUCAGAAAAAUCUAAGCCGUGCAAUCUCCUAGAGUCGGCAAGAAUAUGCUCUGAAGAUUCCUUUAAUUCAAAGAAAAUGGACAGGGAUAACAUUUAGGCUGCUCUGCUCUCAACGCCGCUGUGAGAAGGCCCGCCAGACUUCAGCAGCAACUGGACUAAUCAGACUGUCUGAGGAGCACAGCCAAGCUGCCACUGUCUCUUCUCCUGGCUCAUUCUGAUGCGUCUUGAGCUCUGAGACAGCUUGAUGGCCAGACAGCGCCCUUUCAGGCGGAA